AGUCGACUCGAGAACUCCAGGAGUCGACUCCCACAGGCAGACAGAGAGGCUUUUUCUGUGGACUGUGGCCGAGUCGACUCGCAGAAUUGCGGGAGUUGACUCGAGCACGAUUUUCACGCGAGGCUGAGUUAUGAACCGGGUUCAAGCCAAGGUUUUUUAAGCCCUAAUCAAAGUAAGAGUUUGGGAGGUAUAUAUAGACUUCUUGAGGGACACGAGAGGCGUGUGGCAACCUUGAGAAACCCUAGAACUCAUCAACGAGAAGUUUCCAAAAGGAGAUCCUUUGUGUGCAUCAGGAAGACGACGCGUUGCUCGUCUUGAGAGAGAUUGUUUUGCUGUAAGAAAGAGAGUUUGUUCUCUUCUCUUGAAUCUCUGUAACUUUCUUUGAUUAUAUAGUGAAGUAUUGAUCUGUGCGGCUGUGGACGUAGGAGCAAGGGACUCCGAACCACAUAAACUUAGGUGUCUUGUGCGUUUGUUUUUUAUUGUUUCUUGCCGUGUUCUUCUUUCUCCUACUAUUUCUUAUAUUCCGCAAUCGUAGGGUUGAUUCCCUAACAACUGGUAUCAGAGCCAUCUGGUUCAAAGGAAAAAGUGGGAGUAAUGGCGGCUGAAGAAGGCAAGGUUAAGAUUGACAGAUUUGACGGCAAAGACUUUGGCUUCUGGAAGAUGCAGAUUGAAGAUUAUUUAUAUC
rnacentral:lncRNA from 1 species